UGAAACAGUCACCCUGCAAGGAGGUGCUGAUUCUCCAAAUACCCUAUCUCUACCUGUGCCUUCACUCCUAGAACUAGAAUCAGAUGCUAAUGCACUCCAAGAGGAUAUGGACAAGAUCUGAUUGAGGGGAGACGCUUUAGACAACAAAAGAGCAACAGAAAGCAAGAAACAGGCAUGACGUUACAUUGUCCUCCUUGUGAUUUUUCAAGAAUGCCAGAAUGAUGACUGGCCAUGGAGGAGGAGUGGAACUGGCAAGGACACUGAGAGGCAGCAGCUAAUAGGGAAACAAGGAGACGUGGAAUCCUACAAGCCAAGUGAAAAAAAAAACCUUUUUCUGGGAGGAAAGCGUAAUCCACUAUAUCAAAUGCUGCUUAACAAAUGCUUGUUGAAUGAAUACUGGGAGACAGAUGAAGGCCCCAGUGUUCCUCUCCCUGAUGCUAUUCCUCUUCCUCUUCUCAGCAGAGA